rnacentral:RNase_P_RNA from 1 species
GAAGCUGACCAGACAGUCGCCGCUUCGUCGUCGUCCUCCUUCGGGGGGAGACGGGCGGAGGGGAGGAAAGUCCGGGCUCCAUAGGGCAAGGUGCCAGGUAACGCCUGGGGGGUGUCACAGCCCACGACCAGUGCAACAGAGAGCAAACCGCCGAUGGCCCGCGCAAGCGGGAUCAGGUAAGGGUGAAAGGGUGCGGUAAGAGCGCACCGCGCGGCUGGUAAC